GGUUAUAAGAGUCCUGUGCAGAUACAGCUAAAGGUGAGAAAUGAACACACACAGGUGGUGUCUGAUAUGUCUCACCCUCUCCUCAGCUGCUCCCUCCUGUGUCAGCUCCUCCCUCUCCAGAGCGAGCAGAGAUCUGUCGAUCCUCGACAGCCGGCUGCACAGAGACAGCAGCAGGUUCACGAUCCUCUCCAGAUCUCCUGCAAAUGGCAAACAAGUUAACAUCUCACAUUCAGGUGUUCCUGCACCAGCGUCUCGAUGCUUGCUCCCAGCACCUGGUGACGUCUCUGCUCCUCGCUCAGCGCCUCCUUCUUCUGCUGCAGAGCCGCCACGCUGCUCCUCAGAGCCUCACACAGCUCCACCUGCAGACAGAAUCAAAGAGGUUUGUCUGCAUCCCUCCGUCUGUGGUCGUGAUCUGAGCGAGAUCACAGAUGCCAUCUUGGAUCCUAAAGAUGUAACAAAACAGUUUAAAAACCUCAAUUUAAAUAUAAAGCAAAUACAGCAAAAGGAAAAGAAGUAGCAAGAAGCAAAACGAGAGAGAGUAAUAAAGGUACAAAAAGCACAACGAUGAACAAAAUAGUUGACCUUGGAAAGAUAUAAAAAACAACUAUAUAAAAGAGGAACUGAAGAAACAAGACACAUCGAUCAGGUUUGUCUGGUCUGUCUUCUGCCUCACGGUGACAAAAUACCCUGACUUGCUCGUCUGGUCCAGGACUUCCAGUAAUUCAAAAAGACCCAUGACUGUUUUCCCUGAAGGCUGAUUUCCUGGCUUUUUCAUUAUUAAGCAGCACAUGCAAGAUUUCUUAAGAAGUACAUGUAAAACCGAAACCAAAUGUUUCCUCUGAUACAUCUUCCUGAAUAAUCCAGAAGAUAAACAAAGGGUCAAGGUGACAUCACGGUCUCUCUCAGCUGCUCUCUGGCUGUCUGAAUGAUCAUAAACAUAAUGUGUGCAUCUAUAAGUGACGCCAAAAGGACCUUUUAAAAUGUCUGUAUUUGCUGAUCCGUGAACGUGGAGAGUUAGCUGUCUAGUGGCUGUGACACAGGGCAGAGCAGAGAGACACACACUUGUGUAAGGUAAAAUUCAGCACUCUGUAACCACUGUGAAACAAUUAGAAAACAACAUCCUGGUUUAGCUGAGUUGGAUUUUUCACCUCUUUGUCUUCUUAACCGACUCUCUCUCUCUCUCUCUCUCUCUCUCUCUCUCUCUCUCUCUCUCUCUCUCUCUCUCUCUCUCUCUCUCUCUCUUUAUUUCAUCUCUGUAUUGAGUGACCACUGCUGCUCUCUCCUGUUCACUAGCAGCUUGGAGUUGAAAAUAUAACUGUAGAAGUGUUCUCCUCAUAAGCUUAUUGACCGUGCAAAUAACAGAGGUUGUAUCGUUUAAAGCAGCUGGUGGUGAAAAGCAUCUACGAAUCAAAAACUCAGACGACCUUGGCAGCAACAACUCAAAAUAUUUAGACGGAAAGAAAUGACGCCUCUAAAUUAUCGAGUGUUUUCCUUCUCUUCAACGUGGAAACAUUCCUUCCCCGAACAUCACGUUUGCCAUCAAACCAAAACACGCUGAAGAUGUCACCGACUCUAAAGGCCACGACAUGCAGAGACAGCCGAGGUUUGUCCUCUGUGUCAGCAGCAGAUAGGAGAAGGAAGCUGUCAGCAAACACAACAAGGAUGACAAACGCUGCUUUACAGGAAGUCCUUUUCCCCUGAACGUUUGUGUUUUCUUUCUGUAACAUCGAGUCCCUUUCUGCAGAUUUGGUCAGAGGCCUGAAUAAACACACUCAACCUU